rnacentral:rRNA from 1 species
AUUGAACGCUGGCGGCAGGCCUAACACAUGCAAGUCGAGCGGGGUUUUCGGACCUAGCGGCGGACGGGUGAGUAAUGCGUAGGAAGCUGCCCGAUAGAGGGGGAUACCAGUUGGAAACGACUGUUAAUACCGCAUAAUGUCUACGGACCAAAGUGUGGGACCCUCGGGCCACAUGCUAUCGGAUGCGCCUACGUGGGAUUAGCUAGUUGGUGAGGUAAUGGCUCACCAAGGCGACGAUCGCUAGCUGGUUUGAGAGGAUGAUCAGCCACACUGGAACAGAGACACGGUCCAGACUCCUACGGGAGGAAGCAGUGGAGAAUAGUGGACAAUGGGCGCAAGCCGUAUCCAGCCAUGCCGCGUGUGUGAAGAAGGCCUUCGGGUUGUAAAGCACUUUCAUCGAGGAGGAAGGGUGGUGUGUUAAUAGCACAUCAUUUUGACGUUACUCGCAGAAGAAGCACCGGCUAACUCUGUGCCAGCCGCCGCGGUAACAC